UUCCUCUUCGAAGUUUUAAUUUGUGUUUGUUCUAAAGCCAUUUUGCUUGAUUAUUGGUUUUUCUUAGCUUUUCUCCUUAGUUUCUUCGUCUCUCUGGCCAUUAGCUUUUGAUUAACUUUUAGAUUUCUUCAUUUGCUUUUUUAUUUUGGGUUUGUUGUGCUUGUGAGUUGUGCUGAGCUUUUUAGUAAUUUUGGAGAAAUGUGUUGGUUUUCACAGUUUUGCUUUGUGUUUUUGGCUUCUGUUGUACCUAUAAUUUUGUGAUGAUUUUUUCUUCUCUCUUCCAUCUUAAUGUAUUCUUGCUUUUCAUUUCCUUUGUUCUUUCAAUUAUUUUAUCUUCUAAAAUUCUUACAAAGGCAGAUGAAAUCCUAAGCUUUUACAAUUGAUGCAUCCAAGUUAUCUGAAGAUAUGCCUAAAAUAAAUAUAAGAAAUUUUAUAUUAUUUUUCUUUUCUCACAAAUUUUAACUGUUGCUAAAUGCCCAAGUAUUUUCUGGGUAACAAGAUGACUAAUGUACAACUCUCUAAUUUUUUGGAUCAAUUGAUAACCUAAUAACUAAAAUACUCAUAAAAGUGAUAAUUAGUUUCUAACUUUUAUAAAUUUUGAUUAUUUUUGGCUUGAGAGAAUAAACUAUUUUAUUGUUAGGAUUUAUCUGAAAUCCAGGUUCUUCCAUCUCAAGUAAUUAACUUUUAUAUAUAAUUAUUAGAAAAUUCAUGAAAUUUUCUAGGUUUGUUUUCUUAUCAAGCUACCGUAUUAGAUGCUUUGAAUUUUGAAUCAUAUGAUUCAUUUAGAGGCCAAUGUGGUAAUUAUGGUUUCAUUAAAGGGUAAUCAGUAAUUGUUCCUUAUUAGUUUUUAGAAAUACACGUGUAGCGUUUUUAGUACUGAUAUAAACACAUGUGUCUUACUUUUAGUUCAUUCCAUAAAGGCAUAACCCAUAGGACCACCUCUUCCUUUGAUUCCUUCGUUGUCUUCUCUUUCUCUUUUCAGUAAAUUUUCUUCGGUUUAGAUGCUGUUUGGUGGAAGGCAAAAUUCGUUACAUAUGAAUAUUUCAGAUAUGUUAUCAAAAGAUGAUAUGUGGUACACAAGAUACUUGACGAAUUGCGGAGGUAAAGGAAUGGUUGGUUGGCAAGGCAUCAACUCUUGCAAGAUUUGAUGCUUUUUUAGUGAUGUCACUUGAAUUCCUUCUCUUUUCGUAUUGUUCAGUUCUUUAUUUUGGGAAGGGGCGUUAUACCUUGAAUCAUAGUUUUGUCUUUAGGAGCUUUUUUUUUCCCCUCCAUCUCUAUUCUUAUUUAUUAAAUUUUUUUUGGAUGGUAUUUGAUCUGCUUAGGAAAAUAAGAACCAAAGAGAGUAGCAGGGAACUAAGUUAAUGUAGCACUUUCUUUUGGAAAAGAAAACAAUUAGCACUAUCUUUUAUUAGUGUGCAACAAGUUUCCGGUUAUUACCAGUUCCAUUUGUAAGACAUUGCUGACUUUUGAAUUCAAUUUGGCUGGAAACAAUGAGUAGGGUUCUUCGAGGUCCACACCAGUCGCCACGACUAUGUGUACAAUUUUGAUCCAAUGUCAUGUGCUCGUCGUGCUGCAAUGGCUCUUUCUUUUUGUUUUGUUCGUGUUCUCCAUUUUCUAAAAGAAUCUAUGCUAUUUCUUUAUUAUAAUUCGAAGGGUAAGAAAAUUGGUGAAGCUAAUUUCAACCAAUUAUAGCGAUGAGUGCUCGUUUCUUCGAUUCAUAGUUUGUGACUUUCCCUCACAUGGAAGAAAAUGGAUUUACUGGUAGAAUCAAAUAUGUUGUAUUUAUAUAUAUUAAACUGAUAAUAUCUAUAAAAUAUUAAACUGAUAAGCAUCUAAUCUCAAUAUACUUAUGUUAAUAGAAACAAAUCAGUAUGUAGAAAUUGUAAUCCUCAAAUUCCUUUUUAUUUCCGAUCAAGUGCUUAUACUACAUAUGAGGUAGAGUGACUUUCCUAUAUGUUGUUAGCUUUGAGUUCUGUACAUAUCAUAAUUAUAUUACUUCGUUCAUUUUGUGUGGCUUACUUUCUUGGCCGCUUGGCAUAUGCAGUUGUUUUCUUAUUUGAUUUGGCAGCUGAUGCUCAUUAAUUUUGGUUUGGUGAAAAGAAGUUUGAAUGAUCAUAUAAUGUUGUAAUCUGGGUUGUUAAAUGUGAUGAGAAUAUUCUAAACCUUCGCCACUCAUUACAUAGGAAUGAAAAUGUUAUUUGGAGCAUCUAAAUUUGUCAAAACGACUGGUGCUCUCUUUGGUUGCACCAACAGGAUGGUAAAGAGAGUUUUAAUAUCUCUUUAUCUAAUGUAAGUAGAAUAGGUGGAAUACUUAAAACUGAUAUUGCCAAUACCAAUAUAUAUAUGUGAUAUAAUAGACAGAGUGGCUUCACAUGAAGUAAACAACAUGUAUUGAACAUAUGGUUUGCUUGGUUUGAAGGAACUAUUCAAAGCUGAAAUCACAUUCUCUAGUCGAUCCAAUCUAAAAAGAGGCAUAAAUCACUUAUAUGGAACAAGCUUCAUUCAUAGCAUUUUUUA